GACGAACCGUGCAAACGUUAUUCGGAAUCGCUGGGCUUAAAGGGUGCGUAGGCGGUGCGGAAAGUUGGGUGUGAAAUCCCUCAGCUUAACUGAGGAACUGCGCUCAAAACUGCCGCACUUGAGGGAGACAGAGGUGAGCGGAACUUAGGGUGGAGCGGUGAAAUGCGUUGAUAUCCUAAGGAACACCAGUGGCGUAAGCGGCUCACUGGGUCUCUUCUGACGCUGAGGCACGAAAGCUAGGGGAGCAAACGGG
rnacentral:rRNA from 1 species